GCCAGCGUUCACAUUGGGAUCAGACGACAACACAGCUCAGCAUUCCACGAUUUGAGCCAUGUUCAUAACUUUGCUCUGAUCGCGAUGGGCCGGGAAUACUUAGAGCCGGGCGCGAAAAGAAAUGCAUCAACAACACAGUUAGCACUGAUGCACGAGUCCAUAUUGGUAGCCAAAAUAUGGAUGCCGGAAAGAGUGUUCCCGCGUGGUCGUAAUCGAUGUUGUUGAUGUAGAGAUGCAUUUGAACACGUUCUGUUCAUGUUCUGUUCAAAGCUUGUGCUCACGAGAGCCGUGUUCAAGUUCAAACAAUUUACGAUGAUGAUCACAGUGCGCCGUUCAUCUCCUGGCAACCGCUGUCGUCAUAAUUUGCACUACAAACGCAGAAAACCAAUUCGAUUGAACGUCGGAUCAUUUCUAGUUACAUACUUUUUUCAUAUUAACUAGUGAAAAAAUGGCAGUGUUUGAGAGGGUAUCUCUAAGCCUGAAAGUAUUGGGAUAACAUUCACAGUUCCCUAUUCUCGAGUUUUCCUUGGCUCCAUGUAUUCGGGUGCGGGUUAGUGCAUUCUGUCUGGGCGCAAAAUAUUAUAAAUAUCGUUUUACGAUCUCACAAUUGUAAUAAUUUUAUGAGUAAAACAUAACUUUGCUAUAGACAUUUUGAAAA